rnacentral:tRNA from 4 species
UCCCCUUUAGCUCAGUUGGUAGAGCAGGUGACUGUUAAUCACCUUGUCCAUGGUUCGAGUCCGUGAAGGGGAGCCA